GACGAACGCUGGCGGCGUGCUUAACACAUGCAAGUCGAACGGAAAGGCCCUGCUUUUGUGGGGUGCUCGAGUGGCGAACGGGUGAGUAACACGUGAGUAACCUGCCCUUGACUUUGGGAUAACUUCAGGAAACUGGGGCUAAUACCGGAUAGGAGCUCCUGCUGCAUGGUGGGGGUUGGAAAGUUUCGGCGGUUGGGGAUGGACUCGCGGCUUAUCAGCUUGUUGGUGGGGUAUUGGCUUACCAAGGCUUUGGCGGGUAGCCGGCCUGAGAGGGUGACCGGCCACAUUGGGACUGAGAUACGGCCCAGACUCCUACGGGAGGCAGCAGUGGGGAAUAUUGCACAAUGGGCGGAAGCCUGAUGCAGCAACGCCGCGUGCGGGAUGACGGCCUUCGGGUUGUAAACCGCUUUCGCCUGUGACGAAGCGUGAGUGACGGUAAUGGGUAAAGAAGCACCGGCUAACUACGUG
rnacentral:rRNA from 1 species